AGCCAAUGAGUUUACCUUUCCAACGCUACCAGGCGUGUCCAGGUGUGAUACGUAUGAGCCGAGAUAUACAGCUGCGUCAUCACGGCAGACAACUCGCUUUGCGCAUGACAGAGCCUCCAGCGGACCAGGACGCACGCCGCACACAUUGAUCACAUUGAUUUCGCCGUUUACAAUGGCGAAAUCAACGAAGAAAACGAAAUAUUACACACAUGAAGAAGCCCUCACUUUGAUUUUGGCUUCAUCCGAGGACAGCGAAGACAGCCAAUAUGAUUCUGAGAUAGAGGAGAUGUUCAAGCAACAAUUGGACGACGUCUUAGAUCGGUCAAUGUCUGAGGACAGUGAUGCGGAUUGGGAGCCGCAAAGCCAGACAGGCAGACCCCCCGGCCCCCACUCCUACUGAAGGUGGUCGUGAGAGAUCCGGUAGUGUCUCAUCACAUGACAAUAUCUCAAUAUGGCCAUAUCAAAUGAAUGUGUGAAAAAAUUAUGUUUUGAAUCAUGGAGAAAGGUUUUAUAGUCACCAAAAUGCUUCAGUAAUGUUUCCAGUGUCACAGAAGUGAGUAAAUGCAUUUGGCACAAUUUGGCCAUUUUGGAGACAUUUUGGAGAGGUUUGGGCCGCCAGUGACCACACACCAUAAAAACUCCAUUAACUCCCAAAGCUUUAGGCCUAGAACUCCAAAUUUUUUUCCAGGUGUAGUUGGCAUGAUGUAGAAGGUAUUUUUGAUAUAUUGCCAUAUGCCUUACAUAAAGCACAUCCUAGUUAUUGUAGUUCAAAUAUGACCCAUUAUUUUCGAAGACAAA
ensembl:lncRNA